GUAGGGGGCAAGCGUUAUCCGAAAUUAUUGGGCGUAAAGAGGGAGCAGGCGGCAGCAAGGGUCUGUGGUGAAAGCCUGAAGCUUAACUUCAGUAAGCCAUAGGAACCAGGCAGCUAGAGUGCAGGAGAGGAUCGUGGGAUUCCAUGUGUAGCGGUGAAAUGCGUAGAUAUAUGGAGGAACACCAGUGGCGAAGGCGACGAUCUGGCCUGCAACUGACGCUCAGUCCCGAAAGCGUGGGGAGCAAAUAGGAUUAGAUACCCUAGUAGUCCACGCCGUAAACGAUGAGUACUAAGUGUUGGAUGUCAAAGUUCAGUGCUGCAGUUAACGCAAUAAGUACUCCGCCUGAGUAGUACGUUCGCAAGAAUGAAAAUCAAAGGA
rnacentral:rRNA from 1 species